CCCUUAGAUGUUCUGGGCCGCACGCGCGCUACACUGAUGCAUUCAUCAAGUUUACAACCUUGUCUCGAGAGAACUGGGUAAUCUUUGAAAGUGCAUCGUGCUGGGGAUAGAUUAUUGUAAUUUUUAAUCUUCAACGAGGAAUUCCUAGUAAACGCACGUCAUCAGCGUGCAUUGAUUACGUCCCUGCCCUUUGUACACACCGCCCGUCGCUACUACCGAUUGAAUGGCUUAGUGAGUUUCACGGAUUGUCGCGCUUAGUUGGGUUUACCCUUCUGACGCGUGAUGAGAAGUGAUGCUAACUUGACUAUUUAGAGGAAGUAAAAGUCGUAACA
rnacentral:rRNA from 1 species